UUGCACUGGGUGGAUGAGUGGCGAACGGGUGAGUAAUACGUGAGUAACCUGCCCUUGACUCUGGGAUAAGCCUGGGAAACUGGGUCUAAUACUGGAUAUGACCUCCUGUCGCAUGGUGGGGGGUGGAAAGGGUUUGUACUGGUUGUGGAUGGGCUCACGGCCUAUCAGCUUGUUGGUGGGGUAAUGGCCUACCAAGGCGACGACGGGUAGCCGGCCUGAGAGGGUGACCGGCCACACUGGGACUGAGACACGGCCCAGACUCCUACGGGAGGCAGCAGUGGGGAAUAUUGCACAAUGGGCGCAAGCCUGAUGCAGCGACGCCGCGUGAGGGAUGACGGCCUUCGGGUUGUAAACCUCUUUCAGCACGGAAGAAGCGAAAGUGACGGUACGUGCAGAAGAAGCGCCGGCUAACUACGUGCCAGCAGCCGCGGUAAUACGUAGGGCGCAAGCGUUGUCCGGAAUUAUUGGGCGUAAAGAGCUCGUAGGCGGUUUGUCGCGUCUGCUGUGAAAGCCCGGGGCUUAACCCCGGGUGUGCAGUGGGUACGGGCAGACUUGAGUGCAGUAGGGGAGACUGGAACUCCUGGUGUAGCGGUGAAAUGCGCAGAUAUCAGGAAGAACACCGAUGGCGAAGGCAGGUCUCUGGGCUGUUACUGACGCUGAGGAGCGAAAGCAUGGGGAGCGAACAGGAUUAGAUACCCUGGUAGUCCAUGCCGUAAACGUUGGGCACUAGGUGUGGGG
rnacentral:rRNA from 1 species